UGAAGAACCAGCUGUUAGAUCCAGACAUAAAGGAUGACCAGAUCAUCAACUGGCUGCUAGAAUUCCGUUCUUCUGUCAUGUACUUGACAAAAGACUUUGAGCAACUUAUCAGUAUUAUAUUGAGAUUGCCUUGGUUGAAUAGAAGUCAAACAGUAGUGGAAGAGUAUUUGGCUUUUCUUGGUAAUCUUGUAUCAGCAUAGACUGUUUUCCUCAGACCGUGUCUCAGCAUGAUUGCUUCCCAUUUUGUGCCUCGGGCGAUGUAGAUGUUUCAGAUUCUGAUGAUGAAGAUGAUAAUCUUCCUGCAAAUUUUGACACAUAUCACAGAGCCUUGCAAAUAAUAGCAAGA
rnacentral:lncRNA from 1 species